rnacentral:rRNA from 1 species
CUUACGGGCACAGCACCCUGAGCACGCCCCAUCUCGUCUGAUCUCGGAAGCAGGGCUGAGCUCGGGAUUAGACCCAUGAUUAUAUAUCUAUUUAAACAAUAGUGAUGCCACGAACUGUACAGC